rnacentral:sRNA from 1 species
AAAGGAAAGCAAGAGAUGACUAGA